CCAGGGGGAGACUACACAUGCAAGUCGAGCGAGAACUUCGGUUCUAGCGGCGGACGGGUUAGUAACGCGUGGGAACGUGCCCUUCACUACGGAAUAGUCCCGGGAAACUGGGUUUAAUACCGUAUACGCCCUUCGGGGGAAAGAAUUUCGGUGAAGGAUCGGCCCGCGUUAGAUUAGAUAGUUGGUGGGGUAACGGCCUACCAAGUCUACGAUCUAUAGCUGGUUUUAGAGGAUGAUCAGCAACACUGGGACUGAGACACGGCCCAGACUCCUACGGGAGGCAGCAGUGGGGAAUCUUAGACAAUGGGCGCAAGCCUGAUCUAGCCAUGCCGCGUGAGUGAUGAAGGCCUUAGGGUCGUAAAGCUCUUUCGCCAGGGAUGAUAAUGACAGUACCUGGUAAAGAAACCCCGGCUAACUCCGUGCCAGCAGCCGCGGUAAUACGGAGGGGGUUAGCGUUGUUCGGAAUUACUGGGCGUAAAGCGCGCGUAGGCGGAUUGGAAAGUUGGGGGUGAAAUCCCAGGGCUCAACCCUGGAACUGCCUCCAAAACUAUCAGUCUAGAGUUCGAGAGAGGUGAGUGGAACUCCGAGUGUAGAGGUGAAAUUCGUAGAUAUUCGGAAGAACACCAGUGGCGAAGGCGGCUCACUGGCUCGAUACUGACGCUGAGGUGCGAAAGUGUGGGGAGCAAACAGGAUUAGAUACCCUGGUAGUC
rnacentral:rRNA from 1 species